rnacentral:tRNA from 1 species
AAUGGAGUGCCUGAAAAUAAAGGAUUAUCGUGAUAGGAUAAAACAUGUAAAAUAUUACCUUCAUUA